AUUGAACGCUGGCGGAAUGCUUUACACAUGCAAGUCGAGCGGCAGCGCGGGGGCAACCCUGGCGGCGAGCGGCGAACGGGUGAGUAAUGUAUCGGAACGUACCCAGUCGUGGGGGAUAACUAUCCGAAAGGAUAGUUAAUACCGCAUACGACCUGAGGGUGAAAGCGGGGGACCGUAAGGCCUCGCGCGAUUGGAGCGGCCGAUAUCGGAUUAGCUAGUUGGUGAGGUAAAGGCCCACCAAGGCGACGAUCCGUAGCUGGUCUGAGAGGACGACCAGCCACACUGGAACUGAGACACGGUCCAGACUCCUACGGGAGGCAACAGUGGGGAAUUUUGGACAAUGGGGGCAACCCUGAUCCAGCCAUUCCGCGUGAGUGAAGAAGGCCUUCGGGUUGUAAAGCUCUUUCAGCAGGAACGAAACGGUGGUCCCUAAUACGGGCUACUAAUGACGGUACCAGAAGAAGAAGCACCGGCUAACUACGU
rnacentral:rRNA from 1 species